ensembl:lncRNA
GGCUUUUGGCUUUUUUUUUUUGCAUUAUAUUGUUUGUCUUGUAUCAGUCACAAAAUAUAUGUGAUAUAAAACACUUAAUUUAGAAAUUUAGAAGUAGUUCAUAAACAAGAACAACAAAUGACAUGGUUCUACAAAGUAGUUGAUGGGCCAAGACAUGUUUUGUUGUGUUAAAUUAGCUUCUAUCAUUUCACACUGAAGCUUAACGUAGCUACAUGCUGUAACAAGACUGAAUUAAAGUGGAAUCCUGGUGGUUAUUAUGUAUAGUUCUGGGGGUUUCCUCCAUGUACUCUGGUUCCUUCGCCUAUCCAAAAACAUGUAUCGUAUGAUUGGCAUUUCCAAAUUGUCCAUAGUGUGUGAUUGUGCCCUUUGAAGGGUUGGCACCCUGUCCAGGGUGUCCCCCGCCUCGUACCCGAGUUCCUUGGGAUAGUCUCCGUGCUCCCCUGCUGUAGGACAAGUGGUUUGGAAAAUGGAUGGAUGGAUUUAUUUAUUUUUUUUUGCGAUAUUUGCCUCCAGUGAAAAACAAAAGAAAAAUUACAGUGUCAUACUGUUUCCUAAACCACGACGAGAAGUCUGUGCGUCACUACUGAAUAACUAGAUGAGUUUAAGGCUGAUGUUUGCAUGAAAGACUGGUGAAACAUGGGUAAGGGAAUGGAUAGGUGAAAGAUGGGUAAUGGAACUCCUAUUACUCGCUUGCUAAUUUAGAGUUGUAGCUCCAGUACAAAACGAAACAAGCAAAUGUCUUGGCUGAUCAACUACAUGCUUUAAUUAGAAAUUGUGUAAAGUGUAAAUGACACUUUCAGUGUACGAGCUUUAUCACGCUCUGAGAUUAGGAUGGUGCCGCACAUUUUCCUCCUCCCUUUCUGCUGGGUAUUUAACUCGCCUUCCGUGAAGGCAAACCCAACAGUAAACUACCUUUUGUUUUGUAUCGAGUUGAAUCUUUCUAUCAGUUAUUUCAGCUUUGUUUCCUAAACGUACUUGAAGUUCAACAUUUCAACAUGAUCAUGAUUAUCUGAAUCAGGUGGGAAUACGGCAGUGCUCAGAACGCACAGAUUUUUCAUGGAUGAGUAUUAUGGAACAGCAGUGUUAAGAUGCAUGCUGAGUGUUUUUAAAAUGAUGAUAUAUUUUUGUAGAUAUGUUGCUGAAAUGUUUCAUGCUACUGAUUCUUUGCCUGCAUUGUCACAGUUAAAGUCCUCUUCUGCCUGUUUUGUUAUAUGUAUGAACUGUUUUGUUUAUGUCACUAUAUUAAAU